rnacentral:rRNA from 1 species
AUGAAACAAGGUUUUAAAGCAUGUAGAAGGGUGAUUGGACUUGAUGGUUGUUUUUUCAAAGGAGCAUGCCAUGGUGAGCUUCUUUGUGCUAUUGGUAGAGAUGCUAAUAACCAAAUGUAUCCAGUAGCUUGGGCAGUGGUGGAGAAGGAAACAACAGAAACUUGGGAAUGGUUCAUUGGUCUUCUUAUAAAGGACUUGGAUAUUAAUGAUCAAGGUGAAGAUUGGGUUUUUAUUUCAGAUCAACAGAAGGGGUUGCUAAGUGACAUGAAAGACUAUCUACCAAAGGCACAAUACAGAAUGUGUGCUAGACACAUCUAUGCUAACUGGAAAAAGAAGUUUAGAGAGCAUGCUCUGUAG